AGGAAAAGAUUGAAGAUCGUUGAGGCCAGUACACACCCCUGCUUUACCCCUACUUUCACAGUGAAAGAGGGGGACUGUUCACUGCCUACAAGUACACAGGCCUGCAUACCAUUGUGAAACUGUUUAAGGAUGUUGAGAAACUUGGGGGGGGGGACACCAAACUUCCUGAGGAUGCUCCAGAGCAGAUCACGGUCAACUGUGUCAAAGGCCUUGGUGAGGUCAAUAAAGGCGAUGUAGAGGUCCUUGCUUUUGUUCCCUGCAUUUCUCCUGGAUUUGACGGGCAGCGAAGAUCAUGUCCAGUGUACUUCGGUUCUUUCUGAAGCCAGACUGUGUCUCUGGGAGGAUGCCCUCUGAACUUUCGCAAGUACCUUGCCGGCCACUGAGAGAAGGGAGAUGCCACGACUAUUUCCACAAGAUGAUUUAUCUCCUUUCUUCUUGUAGAUGGUGACGAUGUUGCUGUCUUUCCAUUCUUGAGGCAGGGCCUCCCUGUGCCAGAUGGUUAGUAUGAAGUGAAACAACUUCCGCUUCAGAAGAUAGCCUCCCUUCUUUAGAAUAUCAGCCGGAAUUACGUCAGGGCCAGGGCUCUUGUUGUUUUUGAGGCUCUUGAUUGCAGUAAGGACCUCGCUGAACAUGGGAGGGUCAUCAAGGAAGGGAGAAGGCAGGAGAUCUGGGAGUGCAUUGAGCACUAAUGGAUCAGAGGGGUUCAUUUUAUUGAGCAGUGAGUCGAAGUACUCAGCCCAACACUCAAGAAUUAGUUGUUUAUCAUUGAAUAACACGUGUCUGUCUGCGGAUCUUACUGGAGAUGCUUCGCUUUUGUGGGCCAUAGAUGGAUUUUGCAGCAGCAUAGAAUGCGUAGGUGUUAUUAGCAUCUGCAUAUCCCUGGAUCUCCUGGGCUUUUUUGAGCCACCACUCAUUUUCCAUGAGCCGCAGUUGUUUCUGAGUGAUAAAGAGUGAGGGUUGGAGAGCAGGGCAGCAUGGGCUUUAUGCUUGGCGUCCAGCAGCUCCUGUAUUUCUACCGAGCUGUUGUCGAACCAGUCUUGAUGGUGCUUCUGAGUAAAGCCGAUGGUUUCGGAGGCAGCUUGGUGUAAUGUUGACCUCAGUUUUGCCCACUCACUGUCCAUGUCACAGGUGGUGCUGUAGUCCUCCAAGGUGGAAAGCCCUGUUGCCAGCUUGCUGCGGUAGUGAGAUGUGCACUCUGGAGAAUCUAGGGCCCUGCAGUUCAGUCGCUUUCUUGGCUGCUGUUUCCUGUGCGGGGGGGCGGAUUUUCAUCCUCAGCUUGGAUCUAAUCAGCCGGUGGUCGGUCCAGGAUUCAGCCCCACGCAGGGCCCUGGUUAUGCAGACGUCUUGUCGAUCUUGUUGCCGUGUCAUCAUAUAGUCCAGCAGGUGCCAAUGUUUGGACCGUGUUAGUGAUGAGAAGUUGGUGCUCAGAGCACAGAGAGAGGAGUCGAAUGCUGCUGUUUAUUUUCCCAGAUCCAUUAAGCCCGAUUAUUUUAGUCCAGAGCUGGGCAUCUGUGCCAACUCGGGCAUUGAAGUCACCCAUGAGGACAAGCUUAUCGGACUUAGGCACUCUGGGUAGGGCAGCCGCAAGAGACUGGUAGAAGGCAUCUUUGAUGGUACUAUCAGCAUCCAGGGUAGGGGCAUACGCACUGAGUAGCGUAGCAAACCGGUCUUUCACCAGGGGGAUACGCCAGGUCAUGAGCCGCUCACUGAUGCCUUGGGGGGACUCUGGGAUGUUAUUAAGUAGUUUGCUUUUUACAGCAAAACCAACUCCAUGGAGCCUACGUUCGCCUUCCGGGAGACCCUUCCAAUAGAAGGUAUAGCCUUCACUGACUUCUGUCAGGGAGUCUUCACCCGACAGCCGAGUUUCACUGAGUGCUGCGAUGUCGACAUUGUACCUCUUGAGCUCAUGUGCAAUGAGCGCUGUCCGUCUGAGGUCUCUCCGUCCCAUCCUGCGUGUCGAGGAGGGUGCGGAUAUUCCAGGUAGCCAGGUGUAUAGUCAUAUGCUUUCCUUUAUGUUUUCGACCACAGUAGGGGAUGCCUUGGUGGCUGCGGUUUGCCACCCAAGUGUGAGGAACAAACAAUUUUUGGGUCACCUUUUCCAGACCCUUCCCAAAUUUGGGGUGAGCAGUGCGGACCCUAAAUAGGGCUGCUCAGUCACAUGGGCAGCUGCCAAAGGAAGAUCAUGUUCCUGAUCCCAAUCUUCACAACGACAUCACACCCAUGCUGCCUCUGUGCAGGACUCAAGCUAGGAGCUUCCAGUCACAUCCUUGACCUGCCCCCGUCACUUUAUCCUGUCGCCAGAGGAGUUUUCAGAAGAAGCUAAAGCCUGCGCAAAGAGUGGGUUUGUGUGAGGGAUGGUGCGCGCAGUUCCUUCCCCCACAAUCUUGGCUGCACCCACCAUAUUCCAGUGGCACGAGAGAAACUUGAGACGACCUUCAGAUGGGUGCAGUUGCAGGGGACUGCCAGAGAUCCAGUCAGCCAGAAAUCCGGUCUGCUGGAAACCUGCCCACGUGUGUGUCCCCGGAGCACAGAUUUUUCAUUUGGGGUUUACUUGCGUAACCAUGCUGCCUCCUGUUUUAACCCAUAUGGCUGUGGAGUGCCUUCUUUCGCCUUUGCAGCCAUUGUGGUGGUUCUCACACCCACCGUCUUCCGCCUGCUCUGCCGUUGAGGUCUGGCGGUGGUGUUAGCACUCGCGUUAGCACUAGGGUCUAUUGGACUCCGCCUAUGCCUGUCCCCAGGUGCAGGUUUGGGAUCACUCUUAGUCUGGUCUCUACCCUUCGCACUGUUUGGCUUGGGUGACCCUGAGUGCGAGACUCCAGCCGACAUAGCUCUAGGGGUCAUGGAGACGCGCAAAGUGCCUCACCACGAUAAGGUGGUGAUCCCGUUGAGGCACACCUGCUGAUUAGGGCGUGUGCAUAGACGCCGUACACCGGUCAGACGUUGCCAUUUUGUCUGGUUUGACACGCGCAUGCCUGCCACCUGAUUCCCAUUUGCCUGAUCCGCUGUGUAGCUGUACACCUGGCUGGUUGUCUGCCUUAACACUUGCACGCCUUCCACCUGAUUCCCCGUUUGCCUGAUCCGCUGUGUAAUGAGAUGCCUCCACGUAUGAUGCGAGCUCGCUGACAGGCUCAUCAGUCGCCUCGUGUACCUGCUCUGCUGGCAUUCCAGCCUCCCUUUUCCCCUUUUUCUCUUUUUGCAUUCCCUAAACAAACAGUCCGUGUUGCACAUGGUUAUCCUGCCUCCACUCUGCACCCGCUCUGCUGGCGUUCUAGCCUCCCUUUUCCCCUUUUCCUCUAUCGCAUUGUUGCACAUGGUAGUCCUGCCUCGUUCGUGACAGGCUGGCCGCCGCACUUCCCGCACUUGUCCGCAGUGACGCACAUUGCUCAGAGGCACGCCCUUCGGUAUCAGCGUGUAUUCGAACAGUGCUUAUAAAACCACGAAGUAGCGCAUUCGCGAAAGGUGAAUCGUGAAUUGAUAAGGGAUCACUGUACAUCCUGCAGGACCGCAUCAGGCAGCAGCAUUACCUUAUAGCCUCUGUAAAGCUCAUAACUAACAGCUUAGGGGUCUGUCGACAUCUUUCUGCCCCCAUCUGUUUUAGGAUGAAUGCAGACAGAGCUUUACUGUUCAACGUUAUCAUGUUCCAUAAGAAAGGAGGAAGCAAGUAACCUACGAGUGAGCUUAAUAGUAUACAGGUGGAACAUGUGCUAUGCUAGAAUGUUUUUGUUUUUUCCACAAGACCUGAUUUUGUUUUGUUUAAUACAGAUUAUCUCAAAAUGGGACCCAACAAAUACUUAAUUGCUGGUAGAGUACUAGUUAUUGUGGGGGAAAAAAAAGAAAAUAAUGUGGUCAAUAGAUCAGUUUUUAUAUCAUGUUCAAUAACUUGAAAUUCAAAUUUCAGGGGAGGUUUAUGACACCAUUGUAUAGAGCAGACUUUUGGAAAGCUUAGGAAGACUGUGUAUCAUUGAUGCCCACUGCCACCUUACAAAGAUUGCAGUAAUGUCAUAGGUGAAAAUCUGCAAUGACGUGUUUAGGUCUGUGGCUUGUGUGUUAUGUUAAAAAAGGUCUUCUUGAGCUGA